UUUUUUUUUUUUUUUGAGACGGAGUCUCACUCUGUCACCCAGGCUAGAGUGCAGUGGUGCAAUCUCACCUCACUGGAAGCUCUGCCUCCCUGGUUCACACCAUUCUCCUGCCUCAGCCUCCCGAGUAGCUGGGAUUACAGGUGCCCGCCACCACACCCGGCUAAUUUUUGUAUAUUUUUAGUAGAGACAGGGUUUCACCAUGUUAGCUGGGAUGGUCUCGAAUUCUGACCUCAGGUGAUCCACCCGCCUUAGCCUCCCAAAGUGCUGGGAUUACAGGUGUGAGCCACCGCACCUGGUCUGUAAGAAGUCUUAAUGGUCUUAAAUAUCGAUUGCCUUAACACACAGCAGUCCCUUUCUCUUCCGACGUUUAAAUAAGCCUUCCCAAUUAUGGUUAAAAAAAUGGUAAUGUCAUUUAUUUCAUAAUUAGAAGUGUAAUAAUAAAGUAGAUCUACAAAUUUGUUCUUAAAAAUAUUUCAAAUAAUGAUCAAAGGCAGGGAAAUUAAUUUUGAUCAUUUAUUAUUUUAAUAAUUUUAAGUCCCUAAAUGAUUACAAUCAAUUGAAGGCCCCCAGAGGUAGUAACCAUGGGCAAAGUCUGACACAGGAAAUAGAACUCUUUGCUUCUGACAUCAUACAUGACACCUUUAGCUACUUGUGAACACUGCCACAAGAGAGACCUCAGGGACACAACCUUCAAAGCUGAGAAGUGUAAGGGGGAGAAUUAGAGAGCAGCUGGAGUGCAAAGUAUAUCAGCAAAUACUACAGGAGGAGGAGUGCAUGUGUCCUGAAUACAAAAUGAGGAAGCAGGGGCAAAGAGGGAAUGAGUACAUGAAUCAGUCUCAUACAGCUUGUAAAUGGUGGGACCAAGAUUGAGACAGCCUGAUUCCAGUGUCCAUGCACUUAACUACUAUGCGUGAUUAAACAUUAAUUUAAGUAUUAAUUAAUUAUUAAACAAAAAAACAAAGCAAAA
rnacentral:lncRNA from 1 species